AUGACAACAGAGCAAGUACUCCACACAACUUUAUUUGGAAAGAGACGGGCUCGCUUUGGAGCUACCAAUCGCCCUGGCCACAAAUCAAACAAGCACGAUUGUAUACUAGAGUACCUACGUGUGCACGCACAUACGCCAUGGCUCUUCGUGGGCUCGCUUUGCCUCGGGUCGCCCUGCCAGCAGCACGCACGAGUCCGCCGAUCACAGCCGGACUACGGUCAAGCCCGCUUCGUGCAUUCCUCGCCGUUUGCGAACCGCAAGCUCAUCGUUUGCUCGUCGUCCACUCCCUACUCGGCAACCGGCGGCAAGGAAGAAGGGGCAGCAGGGGGAGACGCGCAAGAGCUAAAGCUUCUGGGGACGUGGAGGGGGCCAUUCGCGCUGCGAUCCAACCCGGUGAACAAGAAGGUGCCCGUGCUCAUCCACAACGGCGUGCCCAUCUACGCUCGCCAUGUUGGAGUACAUCGACGAGGUCUACCGUGGGAUGGGAUCAUCCCUCCUCCCCGCCGACCCCUACCAACACCUAGGGCUCGAUUCUGGGCCGCCUACAUUGACAACAAGCUAGUCACUCCAUGGUGGAAGAUGUUUGUGGACAAGACAGACAAGGAGAAAGAUGAAGGGACAAAGCAAACACUUGCAGCAGUGGAGAUGCUAGAGGGGGCCCUGAGGGAAUGCUCCAAGGGGAAGCCGUUCUUUGGAGGAGAAAACAUCGGCUAUGUUGACAUUGUGUUGGGUGGUGUGGUCGCAUGGAUGCAAGGAACCAAGGCGCUCUGUGGUGUGGAGCUCCUUCACGCCACGAAGACUCCGCUUUUGCUGGCAUGGAUGGGGCGCUUUGGCAAACUAGAACCUACCAAGGUGGUUCUGCCAGAAGUCGAUAGGUUGGUCGAGUUUGCAAAGAUGAAACAGUGUUAUUAUUCAGACAAGCUAGUAUUUGGAGUUCAGUCCUCUACACGUAAUUCCCCUCCUAGUACAAGUAGCACGGUGUCCAUGUAUGCACAAGGAAGACCGCUAGUCACUCCAUGGUGGAAGAUGUUUGUGGACAAGACAGACAAGGAGAAAGAUGAAGGGACAAAGCAAACACUUGCAGCAGUGGAGAUGCUAGAGGGGGCCCUGAGGGAGUGCUCCAAGGGGAAGCCGUUCUUUGGAGGAGAAAACAUCGGCUAUGUUGACAUUGUGUUGGGUGGUGUGGUCGCAUGGAUGCAAGGAACCGAGGCGCUCUGUGGUGUGGAGCUCCUUCACGCCACGAAGACUCCGCUUUUGCUGGCAUGGAUGGGGCGCUUUGGCAAACUAGAACCUACCAAGGUGGUUCUGCCAGAAGUCGAUAGGUUGGUCGAGUUUGCAAAGAUGAAACAGUGUUAUUAUUCAGACAAGCUAGUAUUUGGAGUUCAGUCCUCUACACGUAAUUCCCCUCCUAGUACAAGUAGCACGGUGUCCGUAGGAUGCGGGAGCACAACACCUUUGGACAGUUGGAAACAUGCCAUGGAGACAACGGUUCCUCGUUCGCUGGAGUGGACGCACCCUAUAAAGAUUGAUCAUCAAAGCUCGUGGGUUUUCUAUACCGGAAAGAGACUAAGAAGACGUCUCUUGACCGCACCGUCCAAAUGUUGCACUGUUGGUUUUUGGAUGUAA
rnacentral:rRNA from 1 species